rnacentral:rRNA from 1 species
GUGCCAGCAGCCGCGGUAAAACCAGCACCUCAAGUGGUCAGGAUGAUUAUUGGGCCUAAAGCAUCCGUAGCCGGCUUUGUAAGUUUUCGGUUAAAUCCAUGUGCUCAACGCAUGGGCUGCCGAAAAUACUGCAUAGCUAGGGAGUGGGAGAGGUAGACGGUACUCAGUAGGUAGGGGUAAAAUCCUUUGAUCUAUUGAUGACCACCUGUGGCGAAGGCGGUCUACCAGAACACGUUCGACGGUGAGGGAUGAAAGCUGGGGGAGCAAACCGGAUUAGAUACCCGGGUAGUCCCAGCUGUAAACGAUGCAGACUCGAUGAUGCAUUGGCAUAAUAGCCAUUGCAGUGUCGCAGGGAAGCCGUUAAGUCUGCCGCCUGGGAAGUACGUACGCAAGUAUGAAACUUAAAGGAAUUGGCGGGGGAGCACCACAAGGGGUGAAGCCUGCGGUUCAAUUGGAGUCAACGCCAGAAAUCUUACCCGGAGAGACAGCAGAAUGAAGGUCAAGCUGAAGACUUUACCAGACAAGCUGAGAGGUGGUGCAUGGCCGUCGCCAGCUCGUGCCGUGAGAUGUCCUGUUAAGUCAGGUAACGAGCGAGAUCCCUGCCGCUAGUUGCUAUCAUUAUUCUCAGGAAUAGUGGAGCGAAUUAGUGGGACUGCCGUUGUUAAAACGGAGGAAGGAAGGGGCUACGGCAGGUCAGUAUGCCCCGAAACUCUGGGGCCACACGCGGGCUGCAAUGGUAGUGACAAUGAGUUCCAAACUCGAAAGAGAGUGGCAAUCUCUAAACGCUACCACAGUUAUGACUGAGGGCUGUAACUCGCCCUCACGAAUAUGGAAUCCCUAGUAACCGCGUGUCAUUACCGCGCGGUGAAUACGUCCCUGCUCCUUGCACACACCGCCCGUC